UAGUUGGUGAGGUAACGGCUCACCAAGGCGACGAUCUCUAGCUGGUCUGAGAGGAUGACCAGCCACACUGGAACUGAGACACGGUCCAGACUCCUACGGGAGGCAGCAGUGGGGAAUAUUGCACAAUGGGGGAAACCCUGAUGCAGCCAUGCCGCGUGUGUGAAGAAGGCCUUCGGGUUGUAAAGCACUUUCAGCGAGGAGGAAAGGGGUGAUGCUAAUACCAUCAUUCUGUGACGUUACUCGCAGAAGAAGCACCGGCUAACUACGUGCCAGCAGCCGCGGUAAUACGUAGGUCCCGAGCGUUGUCCGGAUUUAUUGGGCGUAAAGCGAGCGCAGGCGGUUUGAUAAGUCUGAAGUAAAAGGCUGUGGCUUAACCAUAGUAUGCUUUGGAAACUGUCAAACUUGAGUGCAGAAGGGGAGAGUGGAAUUCCAUGUGUAGCGGUGAAAUGCGUAGAUAUAUGGAGGAACACCGGUGGCGAAAGCGGCUCUCUGGUCUGUAACUGACGCUGAGGCUCGAAAGCGUGGGGAGCAAACAGGAUUAGAUACCCUGGUAGUCCACGCCGUAAACGAUGAGUGCUAGGUGUUGAGUCCUU
rnacentral:rRNA from 1 species